GUGGGGCCCACGGAAUGAAUAUAUUAGAUUGACGCCAAGUGAAAGUUUUAGAUGGAAAAAUAGGAGUGGAAAUGACGUUUCGAACAUGGCUCUUCAUCAGAAAAAGAGAAAAAUCGGGAG